CAACUGGCUCCAGCUUCAGUAUUCUAGCCUGGAAAUCCCAUGGAAAGAGGAGCUUGGCAGGAAGAGCAAGAUGAGGCACAUGAAGGAAAUAGAUUCUGACAGUGAAGGUGCCAGUGGGAGCGUGAUGCAUUUGUCAAUAUGGAGGAUAUGAAACAAAUAUACCAGGAGGCUGGGAAAUACGCCAGGAAUGAAGGAGGGGGCAUACCUGGGCAUCAGAUAAUGGAGCCUGGGAAAGCCUGCUUUCUACAUCUGGAUUUCAAGGCAUCAUUCAGACAAAGCUUCAUUAAACCCCACCAAACACUAAAGGUCACCGUGGUUUUAUAUGUUUUUGUUGUAGCAACCAAAUGUUGCAAAAACUCUAUCAGCAGCCAGCAAAAUUUAGAAAUACCAGAAAAUGGCAAGAGGAAGAUGGGGUCAUAGGUGAGAAGUUCAUUUGUUCAACAAAUAGAAACACAGAUGAAUAGAAUAGAGUUCUUUCCCUCAAGGAAAUCUUUCUGCAUAGAAGAC